GACGAACGCUGGCGGCGUGCCUAAUACAUGCAAGUCGAACGGGGAAAGCUUUCGGGUGAGUACUAGUGGCGCACGGGUGAGUAACGCGUGGAUAAUCUGCCUUAGAGUGGGGGAUAACUAGUCGAAAGAUUAGCUAAUACCGCAUAAGACCACAAGAACUGCGGUUCAAGGGGUCAAAGGUUUUUCGCUCUAAGAUGAGUCCGCGUAAGAUUAGCUAGUUGGUAGGGUAACGGCCUACCAAGGCGACGAUCUUUAACUGGUCUGAGAGGAUGAUCAGUCACACUGGAACUGAGACACGGUCCAGACUCCUACGGGAGGCAGCAGUAGGGAAUAUUGCACAAUGGAGGAAACUCUGAUGCAGCGACGCCGCGUGAGUGAUGAAGGCCUUCGGGUCGUAAAGCUCUGUCGCAGGGGAAUAACACAAUGAAGGUACCCUGUAAGAAAGGAUCGGCUAACUUCGUGCCAGCCGCCGCGGUAAAAC
rnacentral:rRNA from 1 species